GUUGCGCCGGGAGAGGGAAGGCGAAGGCGGGCUGAGCCCGGCGCCGGGAGGAGUGGUCUAAACCCCACUGCGGCUUUCGCAUCGGAGACGUGUCUUUAGGAAGCAGAGAGGGUUCGAUUCUGGACUCCGCCCAUGACUCACUUCUCUUGUAAAGAAAGAGUUGUCCUUCCUGGUACUCCAGGUUUAUGGGAUGCAGGCUAAUGGAGCAUGCUCUAUCUGGGACUGCUAGUCUUAUGACAGAGGGAGAAGACAGCGAUGAGUUUUCGAAGAACUCCAGGAAGUGGCUGCAGAGCAAAGUAGGAUCCUGAUACUGAGCUCAAGUGAUUCGAAUGAAAAGACCUUGGCACAGACCUGUUAAGGAAGCUCCAUAUAAAGUGAAGAAAACAACAUGCUCAGCCAUGUCCUUGCCUUCUGCGCACGGUAGUGCAUUCACUGCCUGAGAAUUCAAGGCUAAAACAAAAAGAGGAGCUUUUGUUCCAACGGAUAAGUACUUACCUUUUUCAAAAAAUGCAUAAGCUGUCCUGGGUGUU
rnacentral:antisense_RNA from 1 species